CCCUAGUAAGCACAAGUCACCAGCUUGUGCUGAUUACGUCCCUGCCCUUUGUACACACCGCCCGUCGCUACUACCGAUUGAAUGGCUUAGUGAGGCCCUCGGAUUGACUUUCAGAGACUGGCAACAGUCUUUGAUUGUUGAGAAGUUGGCCAAACUUGGUCAUUUAGAGGAAGUAAAAGUCGUAACAAGGUUUCCGUAGGUGAACCUGCGGAAGGAUCAUUACUGAUUUAGCGAACCGAGCAUUAGCAAGGUUUUGCGAUCACUUGUAUUUAAAACCCAACUCUUAUAUAUAAAAUAUGUAUAUUUUUUGAAUGAUAAAAAAUUAAUGAUCACUUUCAACAACGGAUCUCUUGGCUCUCGCAUCGAUGAAGAACGUAGCGAAGUGCGAUAAGUAAUGUGAAUUGCAGAAUUCCGUGAAUCAUCGAAUCUUUGAACGCAUAUUGCACUUUCUGGUAUUCCGGAAAGUAUGCCUGUUUGAGGGUCAGUUAAAUAAAAAUCGGUGUUGUUGCUGCUAUUAGUGGUGAUGCAUCGGAAUUGAGUUGUUCUUUGCCCUUGGCAUAAGUGACUUAAAAAUUUUGUACGAUUUUUGAACGUAUUUAAAAUUAAUGUACGUUCAUAAUAAUAUCAUAUAUUAGAUGCGGUCAUUCUUAUGACUUCGCGUCUAUAAUUUUUCAUUAUUUGACCUCAAAUCAGGUAAGAAUACCCGCUGAACUUAAGCAUAUCAAUAAGCGGAGGAAAAGAAAAUAACAAUGAUUCCCUUAGUAACGGCGAGUGAAGGGGGAUAAGCUCAAAUUUUAAAUCUGCUAGGUUUUACCUAUCAGAGUUGUAAUUUGAAGAAGCGUUUUCCGCGUCUCGGUUGACCCAAGUCCUUUGGGAUAAGGUAUCAUGGAGGUGAGAAUCCCGUCCGGGUUGACCUUGUGACGCUUUACGAUACGUUUUCAAAGAGUCGAGUUGUUUGGGAUUGCAGCUCAAAAUGGGAGUAAUUUCUCCUAAGCUAAAUAUGCGAGAGACGAUAGCGAACAAGUACCGUGAGGGAAAGAUGAAAGAACUUUGAAAAGAGAGUAAAAUAGUACGUGAAAUGUGAARGGGAAACGAUUGAAGUCAGUCGUACCGACGGAAAAUCAGCUCUUCGAGUGCGGACUUUGUGGACGUGCGUGAGCUUUUAACGGCCUCGCUGUUUGUAAUGUUUGUGCUUUUUGGGUGUACUUUUUCGUAUGGUAGGCCAACAUCAGUUUUGAUCGCUAUAAAAUGACCGGCGGAAUGUAGCUUUGAUCUCGUAUUGAAGUGUUAUAGCCUCUGGUAGAUGUGGUGAUCGGGACUGAGGAUUGCAACGAAUAUCCUUUGGGCUAUCCGUCUGACCUCUGAAAGUCGCUUAGGUGCCGAAAGCUUGCUUACGGUCAUUUAAGUUUGACGGUCAAAAGGUUAGAACGUGAUUACAUUCGUUAAGGAUGUUGGCGUAAUGGCUUUAAACGACCCGUCUUGAAACACGGACCAAGGAGUCUAACAUAUAUGCGAGUGUU
rnacentral:rRNA from 1 species